rnacentral:rRNA from 1 species
AGUGAACGCUGGCGGUAGGCCUAACACAUGCAAGUCGAACGGCAGCACAGAGGAGCUUGCUCCUUGGGUGGCGAGUGGCGGACGGGUGAGGAAUACAUCGGAAUCUACUUUUUCGUGGGGGAUAACGUAGGGAAACUUACGCUAAUACCGCAUACGACCUACGGGUGAAAGCAGGGGAUCUUCGGACCUUGCGCGAUUGAAUGAGCCGAUGUCGGAUUAGCUAGUUGGCGGGGUAAAGGCCCACCAAGGCGACGAUCCGUAGCUGGUCUGAGAGGAUGAUCAGCCACACUGGAACUGAGACACGGUCCAGACUCCUACGGGAGGCAGCAGUGGGGAAUAUUGGACAAUGGGCGCAAGCCUGAUCCAGCCAUACCGCGUGGGUGAAGAAGGCCUUCGGGUUGUAAAGCCCUUUUGUUGGGAAAGAAAUCCAGCCGGCUAAUACCUGGUUGGGAUGACGGUACCCAAAGAAUAAGCACCGGCUAACUUCGUGCCAGCCGCCGCGGUAA